GCUGCUGUCUAUGGUAGAGUCCAGAAUACUAAAUAAUUCAGGAAUAAUAGGUUCGAGUCCUAUCAGCAGCGCCA
rnacentral:tRNA from 1 species